UUGUUGCCGCCACCAUGUCGUGGAGACACCUUUCUGAUGUGAUAUGUGAUUUAAAAAGGGAGAAAAAAUAAUUUGGCAAAAGAUUCCAACUCACUUUGAUCGAGUCAAAAAAAACCUUGAGACCAAAGCCAUAGGGCAGGAAGCAUGGAAGAUAGGAGCCAUAGCAGCAGCUUUCUUUCUCAUUCUGCAAACUGCUGUCACCAUUGUCUACAUUCUGAAGUGCAGGAGAAAGCCAAAUAGCAGUGUGGCCUCAAAGAACCUGUGUGCUGGAGGAAACGGAGGCAUAGAAUGUGACGCAAACAACAUAGAUACCACCAUUCCAAUCGAUGAACAAACUGCUGUAGACGACCUUCCAGAGUACUCAGAGGUCCAGCAAGAGGACGUUGCUAUGACAGCUAUCCCACUGGAUUCCACAGAGAAGAAUUCGUCCUAUGACCCCAUAACCUCUGCUGUUUAGCAUUGCUGACCUUAAGGAGUAUGACUGUAGAUGUGCAAGUGUGAGUGUCUGACUGUGUGAACAUGGGUCUGUGUGUCUAUAUGUGUAUUGAAUGGUCUGGUUAUCCUUGA